rnacentral:rRNA from 1 species
GACGAACGCUGGCGGCGUGCUUAACACAUGCGAGUCGAACGGAAAGGCCCUGCUUUUGUGGGGUGCUCGAGUGGCGAACGGGUGAGUAACACGUGAGUAACCUGCCCUUGACUUUGGGAUAACUUCAGGAAACUGGGGCUAAUACCGGAUAGGAGCUCCUGCUGCAUGGUGGGGGUUGGAAAGUUUCGGCGGUUGGGGAUGGACUCGCGGCUUAUCAGCUUGUUGGUGGGGUAGUGGCUUACCGAGGCUUUGACGGGUAGCCGGCCUGGGAGGGUGACCGGCCCCAUUGGGACUGGGAUACGGCCCAGACUCCUACGGGAGGCAGCAGUGGGGAAUAUUGCACAAUGGGCGGAAGCCUGAUGCAGCAACGCCGCGUGCGGGAUGACGGCCUUCGGGUUGUAAACCGCUUUCGCCUGUGACGAAGCGUGAGUGACGGUAAUGGGUAAAGAAGCACCGGCUAACUACGUG